CACGUAGGGGGCGAGCGUUGUCCGGAUUUAUUGGGCGUAAAGAGCUCGUAGGCGGUUCGGCAAGUCGGGUGUGAAAUUUCGAGGCUCAACCUCGAAACGCCACUCGAUACUGCUGUGACUGGAGUCCGGUAGAGGAGUGCGGAAUUCCUGGUGUAGCGGUGAAAUGCGCAGGAUAUCAGGAGAACACCAACGGCGAAGGCAGCACUCUGGGCCGGUACUGACGCUGAGGAGCGAAAGCGUGGGAGCAAACAG
rnacentral:rRNA from 1 species